CUACGGGUUGCAGCAGUGGGGGAUAUUGCACAAUGGGCGAAAGCCUGAUGCAGCAACGCCGCGUGAAGGAAGACGGAUUUCGGUCUGUAAACUUCUAUCAGCUGGGAAGAUAAUGACGGUACCAGACUAAGAAGCCCCGGCUAACUACGUGCCAGCAGCCGCGGUAAUACGUAGGGGGCAAGCGUUAUCCGGAUUUACUGGGUGUAAAGGGUACGUAGGCGGUUUGUUAAGUCAGAUGUGAAAAUCCGGGGCUCAACCUCGGAACUGCAUUUGAAACUGGCAAACUAGAGUGCAGGAGAGGAAAGCGGAAUUCCUAGUGUAGCGGUGAAACGCGUAGAUAUUAGGAAGAACACCAGUGGCGAAGGCGGCUUUCUGGACUGUAACUGACGCUGAGGUACGAAAGCGUGGGGAGCGAACAGGAUUAGAUACCCUCGUAGUC
rnacentral:rRNA from 1 species